UCCUUAAACAUGAAGAAAAUGAUUGCCCAUUGAGAGCUACAAAUAUCAAUUGUGUGGUUGUAUAAAUUAAGAGGUUAUAAUGAUAAAUUGGUGAAUUAUUUUUAUACCCUACAUACGAUAGUAGAGGGCAUUAGGUUUUCUGGUCUGUGUGUCCUUUCGUCCUUCUGUCUGUUCGUCCAUCUGUCCUGCUUCAGGUUAAAGUUUUUGGUCAAGGUAGUUGUUGAUGAAGUUGGUCCAAUCAACUUAAAAUUUAGUACACAUGUUCCCUAUAAUUUGAUCUAUCUAAUUUUAAUACCAAAUUAGAGUUUUUAUUCCAAUUUCACGGUCCACUUAACAUAGAAAAUGAUAGUGCAAGUGGGGCAUCUGUGUACUAUGGACAGUCACACAUUCUUUUUUUUAUCGUGUCACAAUAAAUAGUCCCAAAAUAUAUCACAGGAUGUUUAAUUGCUUCAUUUCUUUCACUGUAUUAUAAGGAUUAUCUCCGUGAAUUUAGCCUACUAAAAAUAUUUGUCUCUGAACAUUAUGCAAGCAACAAUUAACCAACCAGUCAGUAGAUCUUUUCCUGAUGUUGGGAAAAGAACAAAUUUAAAAAACAUUUCCUUCCUAGCAAAAGUUUUAAGUCUUCUAAAACUAUAGGUCCUAAUUGUUUAGAAAGCAGGCAACAUGGUAUACAUUAAACAGGAUUUUUAAUCUAUCCCCCUCAAAAAUUUUCAAUUACAAAUAAAGCUCUCUCUGGCCUUUAAACCUUAAUGACAGUUAGGUAGCAACAAUUCAUUUACAUGUACAUGUAUAAAAAAAAAAUUAAAUUCUUCUAAACAAUCUGAUUCAUGAGUCCAUGUUUCUGAAGUGAAAAUAAGAGAUGUGGUAUAAUUGCCAUUGAAACAACUUUCAAACAGAGACCACAUGACAUACUAGUUAACAUUGUAUAUAUGAAAGUGUUUAACGACCUUGACUGGCUAUACAGCCCUCGCACGGUCGGCUCGGUGCCCGAAGGCGAUUGGUGAGCUUUAUCAUAUUUUGAUGCCGUGGGUCAGGAACAGGUAGUAGAGGACGCCAUAUGUAGGCCGCCAUCUUGGUUUUGGUAAGUUGUUUUUCUUUUGUUGACUAUUUUGAUGUACAUUAACAUUGUAUGUUACUGUACGGCCUUCUUAUACCAAUGCCACAUAUUCGGCUUUGAAAGACCCU
rnacentral:lncRNA from 1 species